UCAUUAGGUGGCUGAAAGUAAGCAUUGGUCUCUUAAACCAAACUAUAGUAAGUUACAUUUUACUUCUAAUG
rnacentral:tRNA from 1 species